rnacentral:lncRNA from 1 species
AAAACAUGCCGUUGCAUUGGCAAGUCCUGAUUUCUGUGACUAAUCAAUUUGGCUAUUUAAGCUCUGAAUUUCAGCUACCCAACUUUAUCAGUAGGAGUUAUCCUGAACCUAUUUGCAAUGUGUUAACACAGCGAGAAAUGCAGAAGUAUUUUAUUUUUUUGCUAUGAUCAGCAUGUAAAAAAAUGUAUACAAACUUGAAACAGCUGAUCAUAACAAUUUAGCCUAUGGGGUGAAACUCUUGGACAGCAGUUAUCUUCCUCUUCUGCUGUAUGAGGUGGAGUACUGGAGGAGGUGCCUGGGGCUGCCCCUGGGCUUCACGGAGACCCUGUCUGGCUUUCAGGAGGACUUGGCCGAUCUGGACGGUUCUUUGGGAUAGGGGUUCUGGGUCACAUGGGGGCAGAUCAAGGCUCUGGGUGGUUGUGGUGAGUUUUAAGGUUUCCCAGUCUGCAGUUUUAUUGUGAUCUUCUCAUUACAGACUGGGCUUGGAGGCAGAUCUUAACAUGUGAUGACAAUACAAGAGAACAAAUUAACAGAAAUUACAACAUAUCUUAAAGCCACGCCCCUACUAAGCCACCUCUUGCUGUAGUUUGACCGUGCAUGGUGAGAUAUAUCCUGGAAAAUUCGGUGAAAGGUGCUGGAUGGCAGGCAGCUAGGUGUCUGUUUCUAACUAGCGUAGCAAAUGUUCUUUUGGAGUACUCCGGUUCUCUCUCUCUGAAAAAUAAUAAUUUCUCUCUCCCCUGCAUCUAUUCCCUCCUCCCUCUCUCUCCCCUCUCUCCCUCUCUCUCCCCUCUAUCCCCUCUCUCCUUCUCUCUCCCCUCUCUUCUUCUCUCCCCUCUCUUCUUCUCUCCCCUCUCUUCUUCUCUCCCCCUCUCUUCUUCUCUCUCCCCUCCUCUCUCCCCUCUCUCCUUCUCUCUCCCCUCUCUCCUUCUCUCUCCCCUCUCUCCUUCUCUCUCCCCUCUAUCUCCCUCAUUAACAGUGAAAGAGAACCAUUAGGGGACCACCUAAUUCUACUACAUCCUUCCUCUUCUCCUUCCUCUUUUCCUCUCUCCCUCCUAGCCCUGUUUUCCUCUUUAUGUAACACCCUUUCAUCCCUCUCUCCUCUGAUCUGUCCGGUCUGUUUAAGAGGAGUGUGAAACGUGACUGACAGAGAGAGAGGUGUAAUGAGUGGUGUGUGUGUAUAUGUGUGCAUCUAUUCAUGUCAGAGCUGUUUCAUAAAGUGUUUCAAAUGAACUAGCUACAGUCAUUUAGUACAAGUCAAACCAAUUACGAGUUAGGCAAAUCCUCAAUGCCCUAACUAUCUACCGUACAGAACAGACACACACACGCUAGUGGAUAUGAGCGUAACACGGAACUCAAACCGGCUGCACGCGUGCGCCAUCGUGCAUACAUUUAUUUUGUUCCCCUACACACAGGUUAAAAUAUCAAAACAAAACUCUGAACCAAUUACAUUAAUUUGGGGACAGGUCAAAAACUGUUAAACAUGUAUGGCAAUUUAGCUAGUUAGCUUGCACUUGCUAGCUAAUUUGUCCUGGGAUAUAAACAUUGAGUUGUUAUUUUACCUGAAAUGCACAAGGUCCUCUACUCCGACAAUUAAUCCACACAUAAAACGGCCAACCGAAUCAUUUCUAGUCAUCUCUCCUCAUUCCAGGCUUUUUCAUCUUUGAACUUAUAUGGUGAUUGGCAUCUACACUUUCAUAGUAUUACCAGACAACCGGCAAAACAGUUCGUCUUUCAAUCACCCAUGUGGGUAUAGCCAAUGAGGAGAUGGCACGUGGAUACCUGCUUCUAUAAACCAAUGAGGAGAUGGGAGAGUGUGACGGGCGUCGUAUAGAGGGGACCAAGGCGCAGUGUGUUGAGUGCUCAGAUUUAAGUUUAAUGAAAAUGAAACACUUUGACAAAAGAAACAAACGAGAGCCAACAGUUCUGUCAGGUUACCUAAGCGAAACAGAAAACAACUAUACAUGAAAACCAAGUGGGAAAAGGUUGCCUAAGUAUGGCUUCCAAUCAGAGACAACGAUAGACAGCUGCCUCUGAUUGGAAACCAUACCCGGCCAAAACAUAGAAACAAAACACAUAGAAUGCCCACCCCCAUCACACCCUGACCUAACUAAACAGAGAAAAAACAGCUCUCUUCGGUCAGGGCGUGACAGAGAGGCAGGACUUGCAGCGCGAUUUUAUUUUAGCCCUUGGCAACGCAGACGCUCGCGAGCAAUAAUUGAAUAACAGAUUUCAAAAUGUAUUUUGCCGUGCUCGCGCACCGACAUGAGUGGUGUAGUCAGGGUAUUAGCCAAUUACAUAACCAUAUCUGAUCAGGGUGACUGAUGACUGGCUCAAGGCCCAGUCAACAUGACUGUCUGAGUCCCAAAUGUUUCAUAAAUAUGACUGAAUAUUCAAGUAAUAUUUCCCAUAUUUCACCCGGAAUGAUCUGUUCUGCUCUCUCUGUUGGAAUGCCUCUUUGUGAUGGGAUGUGGUAGAAAAUAGCCUUACUAGGGAGAGAGGGAGAAGGGAGAGAUGGAGGGUUGGGCAGGAGGUAGGGCUGGGCAGGAGAUGUGAGAUGAGGGGUAGUGUAAAGGCUGUCGUUGAAAUGAGACCAAGGUGCAGCGGAGGAUGUGUUCAUCUUGAAAGGUUUUAAUGACCGAAUGAACACUAUACAAAAAAGAAACCAAAAGAACGACCAGCAACAGUUCUGUCAGGAACAAACUCUAAACAGAAAACAUUCACCCACAAACCCCAAAGGAAAAUCAGGCUGCCUAUGUAUGACUCCCAAUCAGCAACAACCAUCUACACCUGUUCCUGAUUGAGAGCCAUACACGGCCGAAACAAAGAAAAACACCAACAUAGAAAAAGAAACCUAGAACGCCCACCCAUGUCACACCCUGGCCUAACCAAAAAUAGAGAACAAAAAACCCUCUCUAUGGCCAGGGCGUUACAGGUAGUGUCACUCCUCAGGGGUAGAGCGAGGGAGUGUGUGUGUGUACAUCAGGAUUGGGGUCAAUUCCAUCAAUUUCAUUCCAAGGAUGGUUCUUGUUCAAUUCCAUUCCAGGGAUGAUUUUCUAUACAAUUCCAAUUCAGACAGUCUAAAUUCCAAUUAAAUUCAUUUUUUUUAAAGAUUGUGGCAAUUUUAAUUCCAAGUAAAUUCUUCAGACGCUGCAGCUAUAUUGAACACAUUUAAAUGCAUACUAAUAUCCCGUUAUCACGUGGUAAAAGUACUCAAUUGUCAAACUUGAGUAAAAGUAAAGAUACUUAAUAGAAAAUGACUCAAGUAAAAGUGAAAGUCACCCAGUAAAAUACUACUUGAGUAAAAGUUUUUGUUUUUAAAUAUACUUCAGUAUCAAAAGUAAAAGUAUAAAUCAUUUCAAAUUACUUAUUAAGCAAAUCAGACGACACAUUUUUUUGUUGUUGUUUGUUAUCGAUAGCCAAGGGACACUAACACUGCCAUCACAUUUCUGCUUAUCAUUUCCGACAUUUGGUAGGCCAAUUGUUUGUCAACUAUAGAUAGAUACGUGCAGCUUCUCUUCUGUCACAACUUUCUGCCCUAGAAUACUAAAUAAAGUAGACCGAAUAAUGUCUUACAUGGCAGAAUGAAAGCAUUAGUAAUCUAGUUGACAUCGGAUAAAUCUGUUUAACUUCAGCUAGGCCCCCUCUCCCGUGUCAGUGUCCCAAAUAUGUAAUUCGCACUCCGACCUGUGAAGGGCAGCAAUACACCACAAAUCGUCUAGUCUACCGGAAAGCUUCAAGAAGUUUUUAUUUGUCUGGUAUUUUUUCUUGUAUUACGGUUAGUGACGACAUUCGCCGCUCUUUGCUCUACAGUACUGGAUUACAACGCCCAUUACACUAGGAAAAAUGUUGUAAUGAACACAUGAGUAUGGUGGGCUGAAUUUUCUUUACUACCUGGACUUUACUACCUUAAAUAAUACUUUUAAGAUCAAUUGGAUAAAACAAUUCCUAAGAAGACCCACUUCUAUGUGGAAUGUUAUUCCUCAUCAUGUCUUCUCUACUUUUGGUGGCCUUAACUUCAUGUUGGUUUGACAUAAUAUUGACAAAGUUCCAGUGAAACUCUCUGCUUUUCAUCAGCAGGUUUUCUGAUCAUGGUCCUUAAUUUAUAAGCAUAAUUUUUCUCCACGCAGAUAUUAUAUAUAGAAUAAUCGGGACGUAUUGUAUAAAAGUACUUCUUUGUUUUUAGAAUAUUGGUUCUGAAAUAAUAUCCUAUUGGUGAGCCAACUGGUAAAUGCAGAGGGUAUUUUACUUAGUUAUAAGGAAUUCUUAUCACUUUACAAGGUCCCUGUAACACCUAAAGAUUUUGCAAUUGUUUUAGAUGCCAUUCCCUCAGGUGUUGCUUUAUUAUUCAGGAACGUGUCAAGACCUGACCCUCAAAGCCUGCCUUCCAUUGACCCUGUUGACUCAUCAGUAGGAACGAUUUGUUUCUCUUUUGGUCCAUUCAACAACAGAACCUUGUUUCAGCAGGAUGUUGUAUCUACACAUUAUGUCCUGCCUUAUUGGAAAGGAUUUAUUGAUAAUGUAGCGACCCGCACAGACAGCUGUGUGUUAUGUGUUAGGCUAUUAGUUGGUUGUGUUGUACUUACAGUACCCAGUGUUCGCGGGAUCCGACAUGCCAAUCAACCUGCUAUCUGCCAAUCACGGGAAUGCCUGGAAUGUUCUGAUGCCGGGCAUGCUGGUGGUUGGCGGAGUGGCGUGGAGGGGGGUUGGGCAGGGGGAUCGAGCGUUGGAAGAUAAGACCAGGUUUAGCCAUUGUUCUCUCUCUUACGUCUGGGCUUCACAAGAGAAGGUCACGGUUGGUUUGUAGUGUACCUUUCAUUUAUUUGGCGUGGGCUACGGCCAAACAGUAGCCUGUGUUAAGUUGGGUUAAUAAA